GUUGGGGGUCUUCUCGAGGUGCUGUUCGAUGUGGUGGAAGGCGUGCUGCGCAACGUAAGCGACGCGCGCGUUGGGGUGCUUCCACACGGUACCCUCCUGGGGGACGACCUCUCCGGUGAGGAGCUUGAUCAUGGUGGACUUGCCGACACCGUUGGGUCCGACGCACGCGACGCGCGAUGCGAGCGACACCUGAACGGUCACGUUCUUCACCGUCGGCACCGAGUUGACGGGGUAGGUGUAGGUGCAGUUUGCCAUCUUCAUGAGGGGCUUACCCUUUGACUUGACGCCCUCGAUGAAGCCCGGCUGGGGGAACUUCAUG
rnacentral:lncRNA from 1 species